rnacentral:rRNA from 1 species
UACGAAGGGUGCAAGCGUUAAUCGGAAUAACUGGGCGUAAAGCGCGCGUAGGUGGCUGGUCAAGUUGGAUGUGAAAUCCCCGGGCUCAACCUGGGAACUGCAUCCAAAACUGACUGACUAGAGUACGGUAGAGGUUAGUGGAAUUUCCUGUGUAGCGGUGAAAUGCGUAGAUAUAGGAAGGAACACCAGUGGCGAAGGCGACUUUCUGGGCUGUAACUGACGCUGAUGUGCGAAAGCGUGGGGAUCAAACAGG